GACAUCUUGGAACUUCUGCAAACAGAUAUAAAUACAAAAGCAGUUUUAAUUUUCAUAGAUGCGGAGAAGGCCUUUGACAAUAUUUCCUGGAAAUUUAUGAUGGGAAAUUUAAAAGAGAUGGGAGUGGGACGGGGUUUUGAGAAUGGGAUUGAGGCGAUAUAUUCAGAACAGAAAGCUAAACUGAUAGUUAAUAAUGUGGUCACAGAAGAGUUCAAAAUUGAAAAAGGGACACGACAAGGUUGCCCUAUCUCCCCUUUGUUAUUUAUUUCGGUUCUGGAAGUGCUACUGAACAUGAUUAGAGGGGAUCGGUUGGUGGAAGGAAUUCAGGUUGGUCAGAAACAAUAUAAACUAAAAGCUUUUGCAGAUGACCUGGUUUUGACCCUGCAGAAGCCAGAGCCCAGUACGAAAAGAGUAUUACAAUUGAUUAAUGAUUUUGGUCGGGUGGCGGGAUUUAAAUUAAAUAAACAGAAAACUAAGGUUUUGGGGAAAAAUUUGACUGAUACAGAGUCAGAACGGUUUCAGAAUGAGACGGAACUUAAUGUGGUUAAAAAGUAAAAUACCUAGGGGUAAACAUAACAGCAAAAAUCUAAGUCUAUUUAAGGAUAACUAUGAAAAAUGUUGGACAGAAAUUAAGAGAGACUUAGACAGUUGGUCAAAAUUGAAACUUUCUUUGUUAGGCCGAAUUGCUGCUAUUAAGAUGAAUGUAUUGCCAAGGAUGUUGUUUUUAUUUCAAACACUUCAGGUUUUGGACAAAACGGAGUGCUUUCAGAAGUGGCAGAGAGAUAUUUCGAAGUUUGUCUGGCAGGGCAAAAAGCCCAGAAUCAAGUUUAAGAUAUUAACUGAUGCAAAACAAAGAGGGGGCUUUGCCCUGCCGGACUUAAAGUUGUAUUAUGAAGCCGCAGCGUUCUGCUGGCUAAAAGACUGGCUACUUCUUGAAGACACUGAUGUGUUGGAUUUGGAAGGGUUUAAUAAUGUUUUUGGAUGGCAUGCAUAUUUAUGGUAUGACAAAGUUAAAGCAAAUAAGGCCUUCAAGAACCAUAUUGUCAGAAAAUCAUUGUUUAAUGUCUGGACAAAAUAUAAAGACUUGCUGGAAAAUAAAACACCAAGGUGGCUUUCACCUUUGGAAGCUAAGGCCCGAAAAAGACCCAAUAUGGAGGCUAAAUGGCCAAAAUAUUGGGAAAUACUAGAAAAGAUGGAGACAAUUGGAAAUUGCAGAGUUUGGAGAAAAUGAAAGACAAAGUGCGAGAUUGGUUACAUUACGCUCAGAUUAAAGAAGUUUUUAAAAAUGAUAAGAAACUAGGGUUCCAGGUGGAGAAAUCGAAAUUAGAAACAGAAUUGUUAGAACCAAAGACUAAGGUACUUUCAAGGAUGUAUAACUUGCUGUUGGAAUGGAAUACACAAGAUGAAAUGGUUAAAUCGGCUAUGAUAAGGUGGGCACAGGACAUUGGGUAUAAUAUUAUGUUUGAGGACUGGGAAAAGUUGUGGAGUAAUGGAUUGAAAUUUACUGCAUGUAACGCUCUGAAAGAAAAUGUAAUGAAAAUGAUUUAUAGAUGGUAUAUGACCCCAGUUAAACUUGCAAAAAUUUACCACCUGUCUGAUAAUAAGUGUUGGAAAUGUAAAGAGUGUGAGGGAACGUUCUUCCACCUCUGGUGGACCUGCCCUAAAGUGAAGGCGUUCUGGGAAAUGAUUUAUAAUGAAUUGAAAAAGGUAUUUAAAUAUACCUUUACCAAGAAACCAGAGGCUUUCCUUCUGGGUAUUGUCAGCCAAGGGGUGGCAAAGAAGGACCAGACAUUUUUUAUGUAUGCAACAACAGCAGCAAGGAUACUUCUUGCAAAACAUUGGAAAACUCAAGAUUUACCCACACUGGAAGAAUGGCAGAUGCAACUGAUAGACUACAUGGAACUGGCUGAAAUGACCGGCAGAAUCCGUGACCUGGGAGAAGAGAGAAUCGAGGAGGAUUGGAAGAAAUUUAAGAACUAUCUAC